UACUAUAUGUAUAUUAUUUUAUUUAAUCUUCAGAACAACCCUAUGAUGUAGGUAAUAUUUUUAGUUCCAUUUUUCAGAUGAUGAAAGCAGGCCAGAGAAAUUAAGAAAUUUGCUCAACGUCUGCUAAACCAUUUGUAGAAGACCUGCUUCUGGGUCAGGGUUUUGUACGUAGCAGAGCAGCUCCCUUGCUGCGAUCUAUUGAAAGUCAGCCCUUGACACAAGGGUUU
rnacentral:ncRNA from 1 species